GAUAAACGCUGGCGGCGUGCCUAACACAUGCAAGUCGAUCGCCCUUACGCAAGUAAGGGAGUGGCGGACGGGUGAGGAACACGUGGGUGAUCUGCCUUGAGGUGAGGAAUACCGGCGAGAAAUCGCCGACAAUACCGCAUACGUUCGCAAGAACAAAGUCGCAAGACGCCUUGAGAUGAGCCUGCGUCCGAUUAGCUAGUUGGUGGGGUAAAAGCCUACCAAGGCAGCGAUCGGUAGCUGGUCUGAGAGGACGAUCAGCCACACUGGGAUUGAGAACGGCCCA
rnacentral:rRNA from 1 species